AGGAUAGGAGUUUACCAAAACAUAUAAAUUGCAAUUGUAGAAUAAACUAAAGAGUUUCUAUCUUA
rnacentral:tRNA from 1 species